GCCGCGCCGCCGCCGGGCACCACGGGGCUCGUAGUCCGGGCCGGGGCCCCGCCGGGGAGCGUGGAGGAAGGAGAAGGAGGGCGGCAGAGGUGAACACCGAUGAGCACACAGAGUUCCAGAUGCCGAUCCUCAGAGAAUCCAUGUGUAACAGAAAGGAUGGAUAAUCUUUUGGCUCAGCUCCAGCCUGGUGGAGCCUGCAUGUGGUUGUUUCAGGCUAAUGUACAAAAAGGGUCCUGCAUUUAUUCUGCCAGGUUUUUAUUUAAUUUGAAUACUUGUGGCAACAAUCCUAUUGCCUUCUUUCUGAUUGGCAUGGCUGUACAUAGCAGAUCAUGCCUAAAAAUUACUGCUUUUGAAGUCAGAUGUUAACCUCUUAGUGCUGGGAUUUUUUAAACAAAGUUAGGCUCUGGUCACGGAACUAUAUAGACUCAUUCCAGCUUGAGUUCAAUUACUUGCAUGGUGUGCAGCAUUUAAGUACCAUGGUAGGUCUAGGUUCUGAGAAACAGCUGAAUGAUAUUAUGUAAUCAAAUAUGACUCCAGAGGCUGCAGCCUGCCAGGUUAAAAAAUUUCAUUUUAAAACCAGGUAAACCAGUGUAUUUUCUUGAUUAAAGGCAAACUGAAGUUGUAAGAUAUGCAUUAAGCUUAAGUAAGAUCACAUGGCUUUACAGUACUCUUACACGUUAUCAUAGAACGAUUUGUGUUGGAAGGGACCUUAAAGAUCAUCUGAUUCUUGGAACAUAGCACCGUGGGCAGGGAUGGCACCUGCUAGAUCAGGAUGCUCAGGACCCCAUUAAACCUGGCUUUGAACACUGCCAGGCAUGGGGCAUCCACAGGAUCUCUGGGCAACCUGUUGAAGUGUCUCACCACCCUUGCGUGAAUGAUAAAUACUCUACAUGGAUCAGAAAUGCAAGUGUUGUGACAUGUGAUGGCCCAGUAGAGGAUGACACACUGAUGCUGUAGACAAAGAUGUGUCUUGGAUAUUUUUUUCCAAAACUAUUUCCUGCCUUCUAUAAAUAAACUUGGUGCACAGAAUGCAAAUUCAGGUCAUGGCGUAGUUGCAUCUCUCUCCACAGAGAAGGCUGUUCAUUUGAUUUGCUGCUUUCAAGUUCCACUUGGAGCUACCAAGCACUGCCAUCUUCAGCUGUUUGUUCAGUGCUGAGUGAUUUGCCCGUGCCACUGUUGGGAGCACAGGCUGAAGAUCAGGUGUGUAUUUCUGUACCUGGCAGGAACAGGUCUGUGUGGCAGGAUGCUUAGCAUGAGGGGGCAUUAUCCCAAGUGGAGUGGGAGAGUCUUUAAAGGUCUGUGAGCCUUCCUGCAUGGGAAUGAACUGCUGAGGACACUCAUCGCUGUUGCAUUGGGUGGCAACUGGCAUUUUGUCAGAAGCAGAGGGAUUGGAAGGCUCCAUGUUCAGUGUGCUCUUCUAUUCAGCCCUCUUCACAGGGGCAGGCAAUUUAAUUGUGAAGAUGUGCUCUGGAAUUUUUGGUAGUACCGUUAUCAGUGAUAAUGAUAAAUUCUUUAUUGGCCACCUAUUUGUGUCCUACCCCAACGAUUGCACUUUGCUUGCGAAUGAGUGCUGGAAUACUCACUUUUGGACACACUGGUUCUUUUUCUAUGCAGCACAAAAAUUAGAUCUUUUGUGGAAAUAAAUGCUCAGUAUUUGUGUACAUUGUGCUCUUGGAGUAACUUGCAGUUGAAGGAAAGAUCAGCAGGGACAAGCAGGAUCCCGAGUCUGAACUCAGCUUGAUCUUGCCUUGCUAAGUGGUAUUAGGUGAGUUACUUCACCCUUUCACUACUUAUCACUCUGUAAACCAUGAAUCAUAAGUUCUACGUACAAGGAUGUUGAUUAGGAUUUUAAGAACAUCUUUACGUGGACAGUCCUGGUGCCAUGUUAAACUGGUGAUGAGGUUUAUAUUUUGUGUAAUUGAUCACCUUACAAUUGCCAAUGUUUUUAACUGCUGUAUGGAUUGCCAUUUCUUAGAGAUACAGACAAAAAUAUAUUAAUGUUCUAGUUAAAUCCUGUAUCACACCCACAUUUUUUUCACUGCAGUGAUAUUCAAAUAAACCCACAAACCAACCUCAACAGGAAAGCAAACCGUCCAGCCAACUGGCAAUUAAAUUCACAUGUUUUUUCUUCUGAAAGGCCAUAUUCUUAACUGGCCUCUACUAUCUUGAGUGUAUGUGAGAAAAAAAAACCCCAUGGUGUAGUUGCUUGGCCAGGCUUUGAGACUUCAUUGCGUUGGUCAUGCAAUGACCAAAGUUCAGCUGGAGGUUUUAUAAUACAACCAGUGAGCGGGAGGUCAGGUUCGGGUUAUGGUUUUGGUCUCCUCCUGUGUUUGUUCUGUUUCUCCACGCACUGAAAGAGAACAAGAAGUGUUGCGGCUGUUUCUCCUGCCCUACCCCACUACUUUCAAUCUCCUCCCCUUUCUACCUGGACUCCAGACUGUAACAACUUCUUGCUUGCUGUUACAUAUUGCAGCUCCCUCCAAGUUUCUGAACAACCCUGAUUAAUUCUAGCUUUUUUUUUAGGGGUUGCUCCUCAUGUCCUCCCAAUUUCUUUUGAGAAGUUAGAAUUCCCACAUGUGUAGUGAAUGAAAAUGUUAGCUGCUUGUGUAGAAAGUCAGUGGUUACCUGUUGCUAAAUGUUGUGUCACAAGGCCAGAAUGUUUACAAGAGUCAGAGUUUGGACUGGCAGUACAGAAACCAUCCUCUGUUAUAAUGCUGCCAACAGCUGCAGAUGUGUACUUACAUAGGACAAAACCCAAGAAUCUCUGUCCAAGAGCAUCUUUUUUGCACUGUUCCUGCCCCUGGCUCUUCAAAGGUGUGUUUUGUUUUGUUGUUUUGUUUUAAUAGCUGCCACCAAUCGAGGAGCUAGGUAGGAAUGCUAGCCAAACGUGACUCAGAUGAGAACAGGACUGAAAAGGGAGAAGACAAACAACGUGUCUGUAAUAUUUGCUGGCUCUCCAGUAAAGGCUUACGUAAAAGAAAGUUGGUUAUCAAUUAUUCAUCAGAGAAUUUAUAUAUCAGUAGAAACACAGGGGAGUGCUAGAAAUAACUGCACUGAAAUCAAAAGGGGAAUUAGGUUCAUAUAUAUACCAAACAUCAAGCAGAUCUAUGCAACAUUAAGACUGCCACCCACCUUUACCACUUCUUUACUGAGAUGCAUCCUGCAUUCCAUUAACUGCUGGAGAGAGUCCAGAGGAGACGACCAAGAUGAUGAGAGAGACAGAGCCACUGUCCUGCAAGGAAAGGCUGAGAGAAUUGGGUCUGUUCAGCCUGGACAAUGGAUGGCUUAGGGGUGACCUAAUUGUGGCCUUCCAGUACCUGAAGAGAGGCUGCAAGAGGGAUGGAGAUGGACUUUUCACUGAGGCUUGUAGUGACAGGACAAGGGGUAACGGAUCCAGUUUGAAAGAGAGUAGACUUAGAGUAGAUAUUACGAAAAACUUGUUUACUGUGGGUGUGUUGAGGCCCUGCACAGGUUGCCACAGGAGGUUGCCCUGAGUGGCUGCCCCAUCCCUGGAGGUGUUCAAGGCCAGGCUGAACUGGGCUCUGAGCAUCCUGGUGUAGUGCAAGGUGUCUCUGCCCAUGGCAGGGGAGUUGGAACUAGAUGUAGAUGAUCUUUAAGGUCAGUUCCUACCCAGGCCAUUCUGUGGUUCUAUGAACCACACAAUUCACCCCUUGCCAGCUCUUCAUGUGUUGUAGCUCCUCAGUUAAAUGCACUGUUUCUAUGUAAGGCACACCAUUAAUGGGUUUUGUUGACAGUUUGCUACAGAACAGCCUAGAGCAGGAGUUGGAGUGACUCAGAGUAGGAAAGGCUGUGCAGCAUGCAACUCCCUGUGCAUGAAUUUGCAGGAAUAAUGAGCCUUAUUCUGAUCAUCUGAGUUCAGCUCCACCAACUUCAUGCUUUCCACUGGUGUGAAUCAGGUCUGUGCUGGUGUCUCUGGUGCUGCCCAGGUUAGCCUGUGGUGAGGGGUGCUGUGAGUUAGCCAUGGUCAAACUCCUUCUGAACUCCCUGGCUGUCUAGGGCCAGCCCUGGGUGUGAGGAGGAGGGAAGCUGCUCCCUCGCAGGGAAAGCCCUGUGUCUCUGUGCAUGUCUGUUCUCUCAUUAUCACUGACCUCAGUGCCAUAUUUACUUUUACCUGCUGUGUGAUAGGUGCUGUAAAAGAGCACUUUUCUCCUAGGCUGGGGUGUGAUUCCACUCUCUCAGAGCCCAAGAACUGGCAGUAGGUAGCAGUAGGUUGGUCACUAACUCUGGGGUCCCAGAGGGUGCAAACUGUGGGACUGCCACUGCUUGUGCUAUGCUGAGUAGUGGUCACACACCAACUCUGGAACAGCCUUACUGGCAAGGUCUAAAGUAAUCUGUGCCAGUGGCUUAAAGAGUUACUGCUGUGCCUCUGAGUCACGCUUGCUCACUCAUAGCCUUCCCUCUCUGCCAAAAAUGCAUCAGCACAGAGUAUCUUGAUGCUAAGCCUUUCUUUCUCACAAUCACGAGUGAGGACUGGGUAUGGUUGUCACACAGGUCAAACCAUAGUAACUUAAUUGUCUUUGCUUAUAGAUGUAACACAUUAUUUUAAGAAUAGUUUUUCAGCAAGAGAGAGAACUACUUAAUUUCUUAGUGACUUGGGAUCAAGUUUAUCCCAGUGGGAUCUAUACAGGGCUAAUCAACAGUGACAAAUUUAAGAAGGAAAGAACAGCCAAAGAAUAUUUUUAAAUUUUAAAUAAAUAAUAGAUAUAUUUUUUUUCAUAGAAAGACUUAGUGUUCAGCGGCAAAAGAGGUUAGUGGGUAAGGUAUUUAGUGGGAUGGAAAUUUCUUCCAGUGUUUUUGGAGUUCAUAAGGUUUAGGUUAAUUGGUAAAUCAAAUAAAAUCAUUCUCUGUCCUGUAUGUAAAUGGUCUGUGUUAGACUCUGUGCCUCUGUGAGGAGGAAGGAAAUUUUAUUCCAGUAUUGAAGCAAGUGAAGUGGACUGAGGGAAGCAGAAGAAAAAGGCCAAGAAGUGCAGAACUGUUGCAGCCACCGAUGCGUAGCAUUGAUCUCUCUUUGAGAGAACAACCAGUGUCUGACUACUUCCAAAUCAAAAAACAUCAAUUACAAAUCAUUGGCAAUUAGUAGAGAAAAAUAUCAAGGAAAAAGAGAAGGAAGAGAUGCUAGCGUGGGUGAAAUGGCAGUGAACGAGGCCAGGGGGGUGUUCCAGAGAGGCAGCAUCAAGAGGUGGGUUGGUGUGGAGGCAAGGAGGGAACAGGGAAGUUUGAUUCCAUGACAUACAGCUGCAGAUGAACAGCUGUUAAAGGGGACAUACAAAGUCCUUUGGAAGAUCAGUGCAGGAUGUGUGUAGGAUGGGUUUUGAAGUUUGGAUUGAAAUGAUGGUACAAAAAUUUUAAUUUCUUUAAAGAUCAAGAUAGUAGUGGUGUGUUUGAGGACAAAGUGACAAGUCACAAGUUUGGAAAUGACACAUCUUUGCCAGAGCCAUAAACCUGACCUUUGCUGGUUGUGGUUUAAUGCUCAGAGUAUUUAUGUGACCACAUGCCCUUUUUAGGGUAGAAUAAGAUACCUGUCAAUAACUUCUGCAUAUGUAUAACUUGGGAUGAUGGAGGAUCCAUCACAAAGUUGUCAAGGUAUAAUGGCAAGCUAGUUCAGAUACUAAAUAUCUUUAUUUUACCUUUUGCAUUUCACAGCAUGGUAACAGAAGUGUGGUAGAUUUUUCUUGGAAAAUUAGAAUGAAUUUCAGCAGAAACUGAUGCAAAAAUUCCACUUUUUUUUCCUGAAAAUUAGCUUCUACUAUUUCCCAUAGAAGGAUCAGGGCCUAACAAGCCAAAAAUCUUUUGUACUUUUGGUUUGGGGUUUUUUUAAUCUUCAGAAAAACAAAAUUCUCCAUGUCUCUGUGUUAAAAUGAUUGGAAAUUAAACUUAGGGGGAUCUAGCAUGUGAUUACUUUUUUUAGACAGGAUUUUCUUCAUGGCUGGAUUGGACUGAGUUUUUUUUUCCCUCACAAACCAGAUGGUAAGUGAUUCAGUACUUUUAGCAGUAGAAAAAUGAUUCGUUUUCUUUCCUCAGUAGUUGGUGUGAAUGCACUUUUCUUUAUCUAUUUACAUAUUACAUAAACACAUUUUACCAGCAUUUCUGUACAUAGGUUACAGUCCUGAUCCUGCAGAGAGCCUUGCACACAGGAGUUGACUUGGCUCAUAUAGAACUAUUUGCAUGGAACUCAUGACAGUGUUGUAACUGUAUUUGUAUCUUUGUGUGUACUUAAAUUUACAACACUGUAUGAGGAUGCCAACACCAUUUUAAGUCCACAAAACAAUUGUGUAACUCUGCACACUUUGCUUUCUUUCCACCUAACAAAGUCUCUGAUCUCUACUGCUGUGUUCCUGUUGUAGGCUGUAGGUCCUUGUGACUUUUGAGUUAUGCUAAAAGCUUUGUCCUUAUUACACAGUGCAAGUUCUUCCUGGUGUGCAGGGGGAGUGAGCUCCUCAUUCAUGAAAACUUUUGGGCUUGUACUGGUGCUUCUCCCUUUGGAAAGGAUUGCAGUAACAGUGGCAAAUAUUGGGGAGAAUAUUUAAAAAAAAUCACAUGAGUACUCGAUUUAUCAAGGUUCUCUGCAUCUGUAUUUGCUGGUGUAUACAUAAUGCUAAGUAGAACAUGAGUGUAACCCAUAUAUGCUGUGUCAGCAUAUGGGUAUUCCAGGCAGAAGGCUCUGAAGCUGUUACUAGACUUACACUCUAGGCAAAUACUGUAUUACAGUAUCCACACUCCUUCCCUAUACAAGAAGGUGCAAGUAAGGUUGUCCAAGCAGCCUCACUGAUGUCCUUUCCAAGCAGUUUAGAGCUGUUUUGUACAUUUGCUGUGUUUUUACCCUAGCUUUACCUGGGAAUUCAAAUGUUGAAUGCAUAGUCUCUUACUGCUGCUUUAUUGAGAUUAAAAUACUCCAUUUCAAACACAGUGACCACGUUCUCUGUGUACAAAUCUGGCUGCGCACACUUGGAACACAAUUAUCUGAUUCUCUUCUUGGUUCCUGCCUCAUGUAGGUAUGCUCUGGCUGAGUCACUGGGGGAUUGUGCACAGGGGAGCUGGCUCGCCCCUUGCCUUGUUUUCCAGGCUUACCAGAGAGCUCAAACCCACUUAUUAGCAUUUUUUCUUGAAAAAUGUGACAACCUUCUGCUUCCAUGUAUUCUAAUAGGGAAAAAAAGACAUGUGAAUUAGCAACAGAGAUACUGUGCUGUGACACGUCAAGUUUUUCCCUUCAAUUAAAUUAUUCAGUGGAAGGGUGUCAGAAGGAGCUCCUUGAAACUUGCACUGUUUAUUUGGCAUGGAUCAGUAGUCAGGCUGGGGUGAUUCAGUGUGCCUUGUAUUUGUGAAAGAAGUUACUUUUCCCUUUAUGCAAGGGGAGGUAUUUGGGGGAAUUUGCCUCUCAGGCUGUGUGCUCACACGAGGUGGCAGAAAUCAGUGUCUGCAGGGCACUGCAUAGUCCUGCAGGAUGGUGCUGCAUGGGGUGGUGUGUGCCUCCAGUCUGAGGCCAGAGUGCCGGAUGGGAGGAACAAGAGCUUGUUCAGCCACAGCUCUGUGUGUGCUGCAUACCAGGGGUUGUACCUUCAUGAGCUUCAUCAUGGUCACAAAUGCUCACAUUUCUUAUAACUGGGAAUUGCUUUAUUACAUUACCAGAAAGAAAUGGAAGCACAAAGCAAUGGUUGUGCACUUCCAAACACCGUGUCUGUAGAAGAGCAGAGCAGUGACUCCUAACCCAGCUGUUGUGGGCAUGCAGAGCAGUGUGAUUAUCAUUUCUGUUCUCUCAGGCUGGCUGUGCAUGCUCUUGUGCUGGUUGUAAUUGACUGCCUGGCAGCAGCAUGCUUGUUUCCCAGUGCACUUGUCCUGGUGCCCACUGGCACCCAUCUGCCCAUCCCUCACUGGCCGGGUGUCACACCAGGAGCGUUACCACGGCUGUGACAUGUAUAGCAGAGGGGGUCCAGCAAGUUAAACCAGGGUGAUGUGUCAGUCAGUAAGAAUGAGCAAAAUUUGCCCUCAUUGUGGAGGGCACUGACAGUGUUGGAGACCAGUUAUCUGUUGACUCCUUUGGGUUCCAGGGAGUAAAUAUUGUGGAGAAAACUUGGCUCAAAGCUUUGAGGACCAAGUAAUUUAUGUAAGCCCUGGGUCACAUAGGACAUAAGCAUGCUUUUAUAAGUACUAGAAAUUCUGAGGAGAAUUUCUUCUGGGUUCAGUUCAUAAUAGGGAACGUUGUGUACAAUUUGUUUGCUUGAUUGGUUCAUUUUAUUGUGUGUAAAUACACUGUAGAAACAAAUUUGCCUUUUGUUCAGCGGUACUCAGCUAGUGUGCUUCUGGUAAAUCCAGUGAAUUAAGGGGAAUAAGUAAUGUGCUCUGGUCUGUCAAUGAAACAAAGUCCACUUAAAAUUAAGGCCAUGAGGGAUGGGGUGAGGCUGCAGAAGAGUUAGAAGAACAGUGAGCAGAGCUGGUGGCCUGUGCCACAGAACAGAAGCCUUCAGGUCACAUGUGCCACAGGCACACAACUCACUGGCAAUGUGAGCUGCCUCAGUGAAAAGGGAGUGGUGCUCUCCCAUGAAUGUAUGAAACUCUGGCUCCACUGAUCUUAAUGAAAAUGAUGAGGUUUUGCACUGGGACAAAUGAGAGCAGAAUCUGGCCAACUGUUAAUAGCUUUUUGUAUUGGAGGCUGAAAUAAAGUGGCUGUGUAGGCAAAUAAUUGUGUAAGCGUGACUUCUGAAUGAUUCCUAAAAGAAGAAUUCAUUAUUUAAUUGCUGGAAAUACAAACUGUUUGGCACAAAUCUCCUGGUUUGGCUGAGCUAUACUUGACCUGUGACAGAGAGAGCAAAGGUGAUUUUAAGUCCUGGGAUCCCAAGGGGCCAGUGUGUAAUGUAACUCAAGUCAGAGUCAGUGUUGACUGUUUUGUAAUUACAGAUGCUUAUUUUGUGUACAAAACCAGUUGAUUCAUUAUCUUUUAUUUCCAUUAUCUCAUCUCAAUCUUUAUGUGUGAAUCUGAGCUAUUUGGGUUCAAGGGAAUGGCCUAUAGCUAGAAUUAGAAAAAGGGGCUUGAUAACAAAAAGUUGGUUGUUCUGAUAUAAAGAUGUUCUGAUGUAACCAAAAUGAUGAAAUUGGUUAAAUCCAUCUGCAGAAAGUGAAAACUUUGUGAGAAGUCUAAGAAGUUCAAAAUAACCUUUCUUCUACUCCAUGACCUGCAUUUCUUGCAGUAUUUUGACCCAUGCCUUGGAACAAGGAUAGUUUAGCUCUUAGAAUAUAAGAGAGAAUUAGAAUCAGCCAUGAUGCUGUAGCUUAACACUCUGCAACUCUUCAGCUGUGCUUCAGGAACCAGUUGAACUCCAGGAACUCUGCUCUUUAUGCAGAAGUCAUGUGGUGAAGAUGGCUUAAGCCAUCUUCAUUUUGUUAAAUUCUUAAAGUGUGAUAAUCUCACCAUAAGUUAUCAGCUGUCCUUAUGCCUAGAAAUGUGGCCAUCUCAUUUGAAACUGGAGAACAGAGAAUGUUUUUCCUGGAGCCAAGAUCUGUAAGUGUUUUCAGCUUUCAAAGAGCCUCCAGUAUUUGAUAAAGUAAGUUUACUUGCACAAGCUAAAUAUUGCCACUUUAAGUACAAUUCUUGAUGCUGUGGAGAGAUGUGAAAUUUUAUUGUGAUACAAGUGUGAGCCCAGAGUUGAUGGGAUAUGUUUGAAAAUAGUUCCUGGCAGAAGUUAUAUUGGCUGAGAAUCAGAUGCUCAGACUCAUUCCAGUUGACAUCAGUGGAAGAUGCACACAUGAAGUGAAAGUACUGUGUGGCCUUUAAGCUUCUGUUCCUGUGGUACAUGAGGUUUUAUAAUACACAGAAGAAAGGAAACAUUCACUUUUCCAGGUAAUCGUUACAGAAUGGAUGUCUGAUCUAUUUCAGUCUUCUCUGUCUGGGGAAUGUCUCCAUGACUUUAGUGAAGUGCUGUGGAUGCACAACAAGGAGGCUUUUUGGAUGGAAUUUGUAAUGCAGGACUCAUUCACUGAUGCUAGUGGAUAAUUUUGAAAGAGAUGAGUACAGCACUUGCUGCUCACUUAGAUCAUAGAAAUAACUUGAGGGAAUAUGUUCACCAAACUGAGAUGUUCUCUAAAAUGCUUGCUAACAGGUUACUUGUGCUUCUGUAUGCCAAAAGCAGUAGCUUUUUCUCCAAACCAAACAGAAAAUUAGAUUAUCUUCUUUUUUAAGUGUAUGAGGAGUAAAUGUGAGAAUUGUUUGGGUUAUGUGGAUGCUAUGUAAGGGUCAUCAGUGGAAAAUCAGGCCCAGUGCUUUGUGUGUUUGUCUAAAGCAAGUGGCAUUUCCAUUUUGCUUUUUAAGACCCCUGAGGUCUUACCUGCAACUGCAUCAAGGAUAUAAUAUAAUAAUCAACUCAUUCUCCACUACACAGAAAAAUCACUCGGUCAAGUUUCCUGUUGGUGUGUGUGUCUUCCCUUUGGCUGUUUGUUAUUUUAGAUGCAGCUCUGUGGGACAGGAACUGUCGGUCAGUGCACCAGAGCCUGUGGGCACUGCUGAAAUAGAGAGCAGCUUUCCUUCCACUCUGCUGCUUCGUGUGACUGAGGGCUGAGCUGGAGGGCUGGUGGUUUGCUUUUCUAGGUGAACCCAGGGAAGCACAUGGAUUGCAUGAGGAGUCCUGCAUCGCUCUGGCUGGCUCCGAGUGUGGCUGGAUACAUCAGAAAUCCCAGAGCUUCUCAGCUCUCAGCCCUGUCUGUGUGUCCUACAGCACCCGUCUCCAGGGAACUGAGGUUACUAGAUUGGAGGAUAUGAGUUGCAUAAAAAAGUCCCAGUCCCCAAGAGUUUAGGAGUGAUAGCAGAAUAAAUACUCAUUACUUGCUUUCAUGUUACAUGGCAUGGGACUUGCUCUUCCUUGCAGAUGACUUCUCCAGUGCUGUUUGGAUGUGCCUGCUGCUCUGUGAUUGCUCCUAAAGCCUUGAUUUGACAGCAGCCUCUGGCAUGCUGUGGGCCACCAGAUCUGCAUAGCAACAGACCCGCCAGUCUUCCUGCAGAGAGUUAAAGGAAUUUUGGAGAAAAUAAGUGAGUCAAAAAUUUGCCAUUCUCUUCUGUGGCUAUUCCCUGGAUUCAGAGUGUCCCUUGUCUCUGGCACAGGUGGGCAGCAGGCUGGGAAGGAAAGCAACACAAGGUUUAUUGUCUUUCCAAUGCUUGGGGCUGCUUUAAGUGUAGGUUUUUGAGAGAACAGUUGUAGGUGAGGGAGAAGCAUCGCUGUUAAGUGAACUGGAGGGAUAGUACUUUGACCUCUUGGAACAUAGAGCAGGCUGAGGAGAAGGAAUAACAUUAAAAAAAAGAAAAUCCUCUUAAUCUGGGUGAUGUCAGCUUGUCAUUGUCAGUUCAAUAGUUAUGUAGCUGCAAGCCUCCUGCUGCCUGCUGUGCAAGGAGCAGAUCAUUAAUUAAAAGACAUGGUGGAGUGCAGCAUGCUUAGGGCUUUGAGGUGCUGACAAGCUAAUACUUCCCAGCACAACUGCAGAGAGCAUGUCCAACAUGAGGUAGGGUUCUAAGAAAUAAAAAACCUGUUACCCAGUGUGUCAUCCUUGAAGAUAUGUAGCAUACAUGCUGAAACCUAAAACUUCCUUGCUCUCUGCCUCCUUAGCAGCCUCAUAUGUGUAUCCAGCUUCUCCUUAGUGUGAGCCAUAAGGCAAAAUUUGUGGAAUAGAGGGUUUGGGAGAGCUUUGGGGUUCCCUAGGCCACCUGGCUGUGCAGCAGUCUUUUGACCUAAGAAGCACUGGAGCACCUGGGCAAUGAUGCUGGGCAUGGCAGAGGGUAGGAGCAGGUGUACUGCUAAGGUGUAUAAAUCCCUGGCAAGACUGAGUGCCUGUUCUGAGAUGCAGAGAUGUGGGUCAGAGAGCGUAGGAUUGAGUUAGGUAAGAGAAUGUGAGAACACACUCACUAUAUGGCUGCUAAACAAGGAGCAGGAAAGGAUUUAACUGGUUUUGGCUUGAGGGAUUAAGCAAGAAGUGAUGGAUCAGAUAGAAAAGUAUCUGGUUGGACGGUGGUAUAAUUUGUACAAUCCUCUCAGCAUGCAAUUGAUGCUAGAUCAGAUUUAAGUGUUCAGUAGUGUUUACAAGCAUCUGAUCAUCACUGCCCAGACAAUUUUCCUCCUCUCAUUUGUCAUACACACUUGCAAAUUUAAUACUUUUAUUUCGGAAAAUACAGCACUUCACUGUCUUGUGAAACAAUGCAUCUCUUCUGCCAUUCUCAUGGAAAUGUGAUGCAAUGAUACCACUUCCUGCUGAGGGACUCGUGAAUCAUUUUGUUGGUGUUCACAAAUCUCUUCUUUGCUAAUAGUUUCUGCACUGGUCUUAAUACAAUUUUCACAAGCAAAAUCAUGUCAGGGACUUUUCUUAAACUUUUUGUUAAAAAGACAAUACUGAAGUUAUUUGUUGCAUUAUUUGUUGCAUACCAUACUGAACCCUAGCUCUCAGCAUGCUGCUGAAAUGCUCUCCCAAAUAUAUUUGUAUAGCUCAAGGUAUUGACACCUAUCCAGUCAAUCCCUCUCCACUAGUGGGAAGCAUGCUUGCAACAGUGUGGGAGACAGAGGACAGAUAUUUGUCUCAUAGGCUCAGGAGGGUGGUCUGCUAAUUAAAGUUUAAAGCUCUCCUGUGGAUCUGGUGACCUCUUGCAUGGGAGCAGAAGUACUCUGAGCUGUCAUGGCUGGGUGUGCAAAGGCUCUUCUACUAGUUGGGAGCCUCUGAUAUUUUAUUGUCUGCCUGGGAGGUGUGACUGGUUGUUCAUGUCCAUCAGCUUUGCACCUCAAGUGGUGUAAAGAAGGCAGUAGGUCCCUCAGAGCUGCGCUGUCUUGGGGAGAAGAAGUGGCACAAGGCUAUGGAAGAGAUGGAAGAAGAAGGCUGCGAGGUUGUAGUGAGGCAAUGUGCGAGGCCUUUGACACCUUGUGCGCUGUCGAGGGGCUUUGCCUGGGGAAAAAGGAGUUGCUUGUGGUGUGAAUAUGAUCCUGUGAAGGUAAGGGCACUUACUCUUUAUUAGUUUUAUUACUAGGUUAUUCUUAGCCUAACCUGAAGCUUCUUGAGUUGUCUUUAAGACAACACUAAUCUCUGGCAACUGCAGAGUCAGAGAAUUGCAGGAGAAGCACAAAAGUGCCUUUGCGCAUCUCCUGGUUCGCUGGGCCAGGCGUCCCUCUGUCCCACAGAUCCCACCUGUCUCUCCAAGCAGCACACAGCGUGCUCCAGCAAGCCCACUGCUGCCCUCGCAGGGCGUUUCCCUGUUAUUUGUACUGCCCCUCGCGCCUUUCCUUUUCUCUCUGAUACAUCGCACAUUGCCAGCUGGUAUUUGUAACGUGUUCCGUAGAAUUCUAAAAUGAAGCUUCUUUGGAGGAAGGUCAGCACGCUGUGCGGGACGCAUCCUGUGUGUGGGCUGUAUCUGACAGAUUCCUGUCACUGUUAUCCAACAGGCUUGUCAGAAACGACAGCACCUGCCCGUGGACUGCCCUAACACAGCAAUACCAGCCAAAGCAAGAAGUGUUAAUAGUAUUGUUUGCCCCCGUGCGCUCGUAUUUGUAGUCUCUCUGCAGUAGGAGAGACACAGUGUAAAUAUCUGGAUGGAUAGUUACAUGUUUUGGAAUAAUGAUACCAGGCACCAUUCAGCUCUGAGCAGUCAAUGUACAAUUACUGCAAUAGGAAACAGCACAGAAGGUUGCUUAAGAGUUUUUCAGUUAUCAGUGACUUUGCUACCCACAGACAGGUAAAGAGGUAACCUGUCUAAAAGUUUUGUCAUUCUGGAAAUACUGCCAAAGAUCAGAUCUUCCUGAUCCAUUGCUGGGAAGAUCUGUUCUCACACUUAUGCCUACAUGCUAGAGAUUUUUCUGUUACAUUUCUUUUUUGUGAUGGAUGAAAUCACUUCUUUAUAUCAUUAUGUAAGGUUUGACUCUUUCUGCCUGUUGCAGCUGUUAGUGCAUUUGACAUGUUAUUAGCACUCUACAGCAGUGCCCAAUAGGGGUUCUCAAAACAGCCAUUGCUUCACCCUCUCUCUAAGCUUGUCUGCAUUCCGAGACACUUAAUUUUCCAUGUGCUCCACUGUUAGUCUCCCAUUGCAAAUUAUCUGAUCUCUUAACUCACAGCCUAAUUUUUGUUACUAUAUUCAGUGGAGCUACUAACCACUGAGUUUAGCAGAUCCAGGUUGCUGUUAUACCUGUGAGAAUGUCCUGGUUGCAUGAUUUCUGCUUAUUUUGUAAGUUUUGCAAGGCUUUUUGGUUCCCUGCUGCCUUGAUUUCAAAUAUGUGACCUUGAAAUCAGUUGAUUUGAGCAUGACUUUUAUUUUCAUUUGCAGUCCCUAGAGGAUUGUACUUGCAGAAUUACCUUGUAACUCUGCUGAAUUAAGAGCCAGAGCCCAGCUGAAAUUCCCAGACCAAAGGAUUUGAUAGUCUCUGGUAACCUUGGUGCAUUUCUUAUGCUUUUUUCUAAAUAAUGCCUCUUUGCCUUGUAUAUUAUCAGUGCUUUUGAAAAAAGUAGUUCCUUAGCUGCCUAUUACAAUUUAAGAAAUUAGUUGUCCUCUCCCUGCUUAUGUGCACACUUUUUCCUUCCUUUGGUGUUGUAAAUUGAUCAUCUUUCUCCAUUGUUACGGGAAAACACUGAAUGGACACCAUUUUAUAGACAAAGUAAGGGAAAAUCUAACAACUUGGUACUUUGCCUGUAGGAACUCUCGGUCUGAGGAUGGCAAAAUGGCAAAUAUGAAGUGUAGGCCAACAGGUAAGGAGAAGAAGGGAGGAGUUACAGAUGCUAAAUAAAGACAGGAUGAGCAAGAGGAAGGACAGGGGAUGCUUGGCAAGAGAGCCCCAAUGAUAUGGGUCAGCUUUACUCCCAUUGAAUUUGAGUAUUAUCCCAAAUUGACUGAGAUUGGACAUCCAAAGCCUUCCCAGAGGGGGAGGUCUUAGCCCAGAGAGCAGCAUGGGAUAAGGAUCAGAGCACAGAGGAGAAAAAGAGACCCGCAAGGACAAAAGGAGUGAGGAAAGCAGAGUGAGCGAGUAGGGAGGAAGAAAAACAGAGGGGUUUGGAACAGCCUGAGAUAGGGCUUUGUAAAGGCAAACUGGAAUCUUGAGCACAAAAACUUGAAUUUGACCUGGAAGUGAAGAGGAUGACAGCAUUUCUGCUCUGUGUUAGGUCUGCAUUCGGAAUUUCAGGCUUUGUUUUGCCUCUGGAGUCCUCGGUCUCACUCGGUCCCAUUAGAGCGGGGGUGGGCAAGUCAGGUUUUAGUGACAGUGACUUUCCAUCCUUGGGCACCUGCACCAGUCAUGCCUGGUAAAGGUUACUGGUGGAGCUAACAGCGGCUUUUUGGAAAGCAGCACUGAUACCAUAGUCAUGUUUUCCCCAGCCAGGCACAGGGGCUGUGUGGAGAGCUGUGUUUGAUGGCAUCUGGGGCAGCAGAAGGGCACACAGGUUAUUCUGCUGCUUGCAUGCCUGCUGGAGAAGGUGGAGGUGAUCCUGUGCCAUGCUGGUAAUACAACAAAACUGCCGUGAAAGCUCUGAUUAGAAGAUCAAGUGUGAUGCUAUAAAUAAGGUAACUUACUGACUGAAGGAAAACUAAUAAUGAGAGGAACAAUUAGGUUAUCUUUCACCUUUCUAGAUACUUUAAGAGCUAAAGAUUUAGAAUUAAUCUAGAAGAAGCUGGAGAAUUAAUUUGAAGCUGCUUAAGGCUUCUUGACUGAUUUAUGGUACUCUUCUGGAGGAAGAGACUCUUGCUUGAAAUUAGCUGAAUCCUCACUUUAUUAUUGUUACUAGCCAAAUUAAUUGCUGUCUUUGUCAGAGACCAUAAACCCUUAAAAAGCUGAUAAUAUCUACUUAUGUGUUUUUAUUUCUUGAAAGGUGAAGAUGUUUUAAAAAAAAGAAUUUUGGUGGCAGUUUGUUAGAAUGAGGAAUCUUAGCAAUAUACAUGAAUCUAGGGAACAUAAUCUGAAAUCUUAUGCCUUUUGAGGUUUGCAUUUGUUCUACUUGUGUUUUGUCUCUUUUUUCCAGUCAUAAUUGCAGAAAUGUCAGAGUAGCCACAACAGAGCAUUUCUCCUCUUCCCACCUGUGCUCUGUGAUGUGAAAAAAUAAUGUUAGUACACAGAGAUCUUGACUUCCUCUUGAAUGCAUCUGGAUGAUUUUAUUAUGCAGUCCACUGUGCCUGUGAUCUGUCUGAGAGCAGCUGGUGAUGAGCAUUGCCAAGAUAUUGGACCGGGCUGCUGAUAAUUUUGUGUAUUUCAGAAAACUUGAAAAACCAGAUUCAUGAAACAACACUCGUACACCACAGCCUCACCACGAAGACAUUAGGGUGGCCAUGGCUGGACAAAGUAUGUUAACCAGCCAUCUUUCAUCCUUUCACAAAUCUUUUCUUUUUGAAGACCAGAAAGAUUGUUAUUGAGCCUUCCACAAAGCUGAAAUAAUGCUGUGUGUUAAAAAAAUGUUAACAAUUCGAAGAAGUUAUAAAAAUUUAUAAGUUGACUGAAUACUUUGGAAAUUUCUGCAUAUUUUAAUAUAAAUAGGUGCUGGCAGCACACGGAGCUGAGAGCAGUGAAAGUCCAGAGGACUGGGGCACCAGAGGAGGUCAACAGGAGCUGUCAUGCCUUAAAAGCCCAGCAAGAAAGAGAAAGGGAGAAUGAUUCAUUGGUUGAUGCAAGCCUCUGUAGCGCAGGUUCAUCCCCUUUGUGCUGCAGCUCUUGGUGACCCCAUCCAGCAUGGACAAAAAGGCUGCACAGCAUUCAGAAGCACCGAUCUAGUUGACUACAUGGAUUUGCAACCAGCAGCUCAGCAGCUGCUUCAUGAUCCAUCCUUCCAGGAGGGGAACAUCACAAAGAUGGAUUCCUUUAGCAAGGAAGAUAUGACAGGUUGUGAUAUUGGACUGCAGUGAAGUUCCACCGGUGCUGUUCUACCCUUCAUGAGUGAGCACUGCUGGGCUGUGCAGCUGGCAAGCUCAUGUCCUUUUUUUGGCUGCACAGAAGUGAGGCAAAGAGGAUUCAAGGUGUACUUCCUACAGAAAUUUAACAGCAUCUAUAUUAGCAUUUACCUCUCUUUACAGAAAAAUGGAGGUAAUGUAUCAGUAAAACGUGUCCCCUCACUUUUAAGGAGAGUCUCAGCUUUGUGUCUAGCUGGACAAGGAAGGGCUGGACUGUGCUGUACCUUUCCACUUUUGUAAAGUGGACACAGAUGGUUUGUUCCAGUAGGAUGAAUGAUUUGACACUGAACCUCAGUUACUGGAAGUGCUGUGUACAGUCUGGAGAGAAGAAGUGUCUGAGAUGCCUUGCUACUAAGCUGUCUGCAUGCUGGUGUGAGGGAAGAGGGGAAGCACCAGGCAGUACCAGAAUAGCAUCCUGGGGGCCUGAAUCCACAGUAACUCCUUCCGUGGGAAUUCAGUGAGAGUCGCCUGUUUCAUAGUCUUUUGAAAUGCUUUAUCUUCAGGUGCCUAAAAUGAGAGCCAAGGAGCCUGAAGUACCUAAUUUUGACAAGAAAGUCGCUUUUGUUUGUGGGAAGUUUUCUGAAAGGACUUCAGGAGUUAUUCUGCAGUGAGCUUUGGUUUCUGCCUUGGGUGGUGGGUAUCCCUUGUGGAAUAUGUGUUGCUCAGUCUGUAGAGUUGUCAAUACAAGGCAUAUUGCUGUUUCAGCCCUGUGGGUGCUUUGGCCUUUGCUCUGGAUCUUAGCUUUAGUCAUGCAACUCUUCUUUUGCAGGAUGUUGGUAUCUUUAGAUCUGUCUGCUGGGUUCUUCCUGCUUUCACGCUGAAGAGUGUGUGGGAGAAGGUGGCCAGGAGUAUAGUGUUGGAACGACCUUUUACUGAUGGAGGCACAGUGGUGGUGUGUGCUGCCAACACACUCUGGCAGUGUAUGCAUCUAUUUCAGCAAAGCUGUGCCUGCUACUGUUCUACUGCUCAAUCUUGUGCAGCAGGAGAGAAGUGGUACUUGCAGAAGCCUGGGUUGGAGGGCCCUGGGGUGUGUGACAGCUGUGCAGGUGGACACCCCAAGUGGGGGUGCCCUGUGAGCCAUGGGUUUUACCCCUCUCAUUCUAGCGUACGUAGCCCCACAUCUGCUAAAGUCACUUAUGCCCAUGGAGCUGGGAUAUCUUCUGCUGCUGUCGCUUCUUCGGGAAUCCUCCUUUAACAGGUCCUUGAGGACUGGCUAGAACUGUGGCACCCAUUGGGGCACACAGGGACUCAGAGACCCCAUUCACACAAGGACUUUCCCCUAACCUUAGCAGACCUCAGCAAGACCUGCAGCACUUGGAUCCUGACCCCAGACCAAAUGCCUCUGUCAGGUAUCUUUGAGGGGAAUUUGAUAGAAUUUUCCUCAUUUCAUCCUGAAGUGCCCACUGGUGGUCUCUGCUUUUGAAGAGAAAACAGGACCCACUGAAAGGCUGUUUUUCCAUGAGGGUAACUUCAGCAUAUUGGUGACAGCUAUGGUGGGUGUCUACUGAACCAAGAGUGUCAAAGCCAACAUCUAAAAUGACCUUUAGGCUGUUUACUCAAAGCAGUAACAGACUCGCCCCCGUCUUCCUGAUAAGGCCAUCACUUAUCAAGAAACAAGAAGAGCAAGUGGCUAGAUAUGGAAAUCAUUGUGGGAGUGCCUAAUUGAAAACACACAGCAUCGUACACAAGAAAUGCUAUACACCGGUAACCUUUGCCUCUUCUGUGGAAUAUGUAUGUAGAAACCAGGAGAAUUACCAGGUAUUGGAAAAAAAUUCAUUCCAACACAAGCAGAAAACCUUUUCUUGGAGAGACAGAUGUGUAUCAUUUAACUCAAGUUUCUCCUUGUGCUCCAUGCUUCUGUUUCCUAGGUAUGUAGUAAAGUAUCAGAAAUCAACAAUUUUCAUCUCAUUUAACUGAAACAUUUUAGAAGAAGACUCUGGAGUAAGCCAAGAGAUGAAAUAGGCACCAAAAAUUCAGUAAGCUCUUAAUUUAAUAGCUAGAUAUGUAGAAAGCUAAGUACCAAAUAGAGGACAAUGAGUUGGUUUCCACUGUUAUUUAAAAAAAUCAAGUUCUUUCUUACAAAAAAGUUUUGCAUAAUCAUAAGACAAAAAUAUUUUUCAAUACAUGCUUUAGAAAGUAUUGGUAUUUUCAUGGAUUCACCUCAUUGAGCUAUAUUGUAGCAUUUUACCAUCUCAAACUAAGCUUUGUUUUAGCUAACAUUCACCUGAUUUAGUUGUUAUUUUCUUUUAAUUAAUUUUUAUUAUUUUAUUUAUAUAAGUUUUUAUUUGGGGUCAGAAUAGCAGCACCAUCUAAUCCCACUUUUGUAUUUACUGGAGAAUGUCUAGACUGGCUAGUGUGAGGGUUUUCAUCCUGGAAGGUUUUAGUAAGAUUCCCCCUCCACUUGGUAUAUACGUCACACAAGUACUGAAACUGAAAGCUUUCGAUGCGGUACAACACCUAGUAAUAAACUGUUUCAACUUUUUUUUUUUUUUUUUUUUUUUUUUAAGGGGAAAGAAAUACCAUCUUUUGGCAGUGUUUCCUCUCAAACCUCAGAGACUUGCUGAUCUGCUGUGUAGAUCUGUGCUGUGGUUGCAAAGUAUCAAAACAGUACUAAGGAUUUUUAUAUCUACUCUUCCCACCCAGCAUUCACAGCUCCUUCCCCUUCCCUGUCUGUCGGGUAGUUACUGAAGGCGUUGGGGAGAAGGAAGGGAAGGGACACAGAACUGACCAUUGGACAGAUAAAAGGAGAAUAGUGCCAACAACUAAACCUUGUUUCUUUAGGAAUACAGCCUGAAAAUGCCUUGGUAGUUAGAAUGGAUUGUGAAUAUUGCAGGCUUUUUGGGGAUGGGGUUCUGGGGAAGCAAGGUAGAAGCAACUGGUUUCCAUGUCAGAUUAAGGAAUUUGCAAGUGUUCGGGGCAAAUGGUUCCAUUCUCUUCCUUAAACUCUGAGCUUUUUUUGUGAGAAUGAUGGUUUUCUGUUUUCUUGUCCUGUUGGGAUACAUCAUGGGGACAUUUGUCAAGGACGCAUGUUGGACAUGGAGCCCAGUUGCAGCCAAUGGGCCAUGAAGGAUAAUGACAUCCAAACCAGAACUCCAGUUAAGUCACUGGGAUGUUCAAUUUCUUAUCAAAUUUUGGAGUUUUCUUUGCAAUUUUCUAUGCAAAGCAGGCACUUGGAGUGGAAAAGGUCAUUUUGAUAAAAAUCCAACUUUUCACUAAAAUCAGUUCUCUUCAGCACCCUGUCCCAAAAUCUGUUAUGUUCACAGUGUUCCAGAACAGCCUUGCCAUCUGUCAGAAGCAUUUUUAGGUAACAAAUUAUUCAACCUAACUGUGCCCUGUCUUUACCACACCAGUUGUGUUGUCUUUGAACUUCCUUGGGAUAGAUAAGCCUGAGGCUCACCAUAGGCAGCAGGAAUCUCCAGACACUGAAGGGGAACCUCUAGAGCCAGGAAAUAGAAAUGUCCUGAGGACGUGGGUGUUUCUGAAGCACCAGCCAUCUCCUGAGUAGGGAUGUCUUUACCUACUACUGCAGAAAGCAAGUGUGUUCCAGCACGGAGGUAGUGCUGUUCCAGAAAGGAGUGUAUGUCUUGCUCUCCCUUUAAAAUGGAUCCUCUUUUGCAUAUUUUGUAUUCUGGUAGGAGGUGGGAGGUCACACUCAGACUCUUCCUGACAAGAUCCAAAUUCAUAUUAUCCACCCCCAGUUACUGCCUAAAACAUAUGAAAAGUUCUCAGAUAAAGGAUUUUUCUCUUUCAGCCAUGUGUCCUGAUCACUAGGCUGAGAAUUCAGCCCUCUUAGGAUCAAAGCCUGAAUUUUUGUUUAGAGGGGAGUCCCCCUAUCCAAAACCCUGUGGUUAAGGCAUUUCUUGAAGAGGUGAGAGACGAGGGUUUGAACUGCUGCGUGCAUAUCUCAUGCUUCUUUUCAAGAGCAUGCUAAUUACUAGACUGUGAUAUGAGAAACAGACGGUGUUGCAACUAUCAAAUUGGUUACUCAGCCUGGGUUUCAAAAGCAAGUGGCCCCAACCAAGUUUGAAGGCUCAAGUUUGAAGCAGUGCUGGGUCAGCGUGCUCCCAGCUGUGCUCCAGGAUGGGCUGCUCCAGGGUGGGCUCUCUGGGCUUGGCUCUCGGGCUGGAAAUGGGUUCUGUCAGCUGUCCGAGGCUGGGGAACAGCCGGGGCAGGCGGGGUGAUAUGGGAAGCAGUUAAAGGGCACAGAUGGCUCUGGUGGGGGGCAGAGGAGAAGCCUUCUCCUUCCACAGUUAGGGAAUUAGCUUUCCCCAAAUGCUGAGUUGUACAUGCGACGUGUCACUAUGACAGCUGUUGAAUAUUUUGUCGUGAGGCCACUAAUGAACUUGAUAGCCACCACAUUCACUAGUUGGUGGAACAGAUUUACCCAUCAUUUCUGAGUUUAAGUGAAUGGGACUUUACUUGUGGUUAAAGUUGUGGGGUGGGGUUUUUUUGUUGUUGAGUGGUUUUUUUUUUGUUUUUUGGGUUUUUUAAAUACACUUCAGUCUCACUUAAAUACACUUCAGCUGGACUGGAACUUUUAACAGUGUUAUUUUGUCUCCUCAAGUCUCCUUCAAGAUAAGGUUUUCUUGUAUUCUGAAAUGAUGUGGCAGAAGGCAAAAAAUAAUCUUGUGACUCAUUAGGAAAUAAACAGAGGCAUAAUUGCCAUCUGUGUUGCAGUCCAUUUAAUCUUUUCUCUCUCCAGUCAUGGAAAAAAAGUUCAUAAAAAAAAAGUUGAGGUCUGGUUUUGUGAUAUUUUUGAGAGAAGCUAGCAUAAAAAAAUUACAGAAAAGAAAGGGAAAAAAAUCCCCAAUACGGGCGCUAUACAUUAUGUUAGACAAAAUGGAUUAAAUUUCUGACACCCAACUCAUCAAAUUCUGACCUUGAUUUGACCCCAUUGGCUUUUUACUGUUUGAUGUUCUCAAACGAUUUGGUGCCACUUUUCCUUAGCAGUGCAGUUAAUUCUGAGUGUUAGAUAGAGAUCAAUAGUCAUAGCUUGAAAUUGGCACUUUUGGACGAAAAAUAUGUUGUGUGGCAGUAACAUAGAUUUGAUAGUAGUUCAGUUAAGAAAAUGGUGUACUCUUUCAUUAUUGUUUUCAAUGACAGUAUCCAGAGUGUUACUUCAUUCUCCUAGCAAGCUUCUGACAGUCUCUUGUAAUAUCUUAUCUAUCAAAGAGUUUUCAUUCCUCUCCUUUCAUGCUUGGCUUCUGGAGUGGAACUUUAUUUAAAAGGUCCCUGAAAUUAGAAAGAAUGACCAUGGCACUUCUGCUAUCAAGCUCCUCAGUAAGAAAUAGACCCCCUUACUUCUAGACUUGUGUCUGGCCUCCUGCUUGCCCACAUUGAAAUCUCAUUUACUGUGUUGACUGUUGGUGGAAGCUUGACUGUCAGGAGGAAGUUCGUGGCCUGUUGGAUAAGAUUUAAUUUUCUCACAGGUAGGUGGUUUUGCAUACUGCCUUCCCUGCCUUUGUCCCACCUUUUGAAAGUGCCCCGUGCCUUGCUUUCAGCCCAUUGCUGCAGUGAGAGGUGGGCCUCCAUUCAAGGGGUGUUUAUUCCUCAACUGCAGCUUGGAGAAUCUGCCUCUAGAGGAUACAGCUCCUCUGGAGUGCUGGGCUGGGGCUCAGGCAAUCUCUAGAGCACAGGAUUUGCCAGGACUGUGCUUCUUUCUGUGGGGUUCCACUCCAGAGCACUUGGUGCUGUUUAGGUGUAAUGAAGCUCUUCUUCAGGCUUCCAUCAAUGCAGGUACUGAACAUUUUGGGGAGUUUUCAGGAAGCCACUAAAAACUGGCCUCUGGGCAGGUGUGUCUUUCCUCCAGUAUAACUUUGGAUAUCCUGACGAGUGUAAUCCAAAUUUGACAGGUGGUUGAAAAUAUCUGUUUGACCAAAUUCAAUUCAAUAUAUAUGUUGGGAAGGGGAAGGAAAAGGAAACACAGAUGGGCCGAGGAAAGGCUGUAGAGACAAGCACUUGGGAGAGAGGUGUCAUGUCAGGUUCAGGGAGAUGUCAGCCAUGGCUUGUGACUUCUUCAUACCAAGGAAGAGUCCAACCUUUGGACACAGAUGAAUAAGGAGCCUGGCUGCCGCAUUCUUCUGCUCCUGGAAUUAUUUGAUUAAUUUUGACAUAUUUCCUCAGAAAAUUGUGAGCACCUCUGUUUCAACAAUUACUUGAAAAGCAGUCCCAUAAAUCCCCCCAAAUCUUGGUUAAGUAAUUUGUCAGGUGCCUUCUGAAGAGCUUUUUUAAAUGCCAAGCACUAACAAUUUCAGAUCAGAAAAGUCCUUAGUUUCUUCUAGGCUGCUUAUUUGAGAACCAAGUGCCCAAGCAGUUUUACAAAAAUUGUUUUUUACUACUUGAAGCCAAGAUGCCCAGUUUAAAACCAUCUCAACUCCUGUUGAAUGUUCUUGCAGUCCUGAUACCUGACCUUGUUGGGGAAGAGAGUGCCUAGUAUGCAGAACAGUGGUUUGGAUGGUCUGCAGGAUCUUUGGGUAGUGUAAAUAAUUGUUAACACAACAAAAUCAACAGGUCACUGUCCAUUUACAGUCACUGAAGAUCUACUGCAUGCUGCUAGCAGUAAAGUCUGUUUGGAUCAAAAGAGCACAGUGAAUCUUCCAAAAGGCAGGAUUGUCUUAGUUUGUUAAGGAACCUUCGGUGUGUCAUUAUCAGCCUUUCCUAGCCAGCAUUCAGAAGUUACAGAGUCUGAUACAGGCUGCAGGGAAAAUGGAAGGGCAAACAGAGCCUGUUUCCAAAGGAUUCCUGCAUCUGGAGUAGGCAUCUCAAUAGAGAUGGCUCUGCACAGAAGCAGUUGUGGUAGGAGCACCACAGUGCUUUUCAUGAAGAAGUGGGGUCUUCUGUCCCAGGGACAGGCAUCUGCAAGUGGUUAUAUUUUCCUUUCUAUUUUCUUUAGACUUAAGUCUGUGGAAAGUGUGUACAGAUAAAAUACGGACAAAAUAUUUCUCCAUGACUUUCUGGCUGUUUAGCAGAGGAGCAAUGGCAGUGAUGGAUAAAGACUGCUGAGAAGGGAUAUUGUAGGUACCCAUGACUCAUGCUGUUUACCUGGCAGCACCUCCGAGGCCUGUGGAUAUGAAAUGGAGUUAGACCUUGUACUAAGGAGCUUCAGACUUUUGUUCUCUGACUCAAGUCUGGAAAUGCUUUGUGUACCCCCUUCCUGACAUUUAUCAUGUCCUGAAGGCAAUUGCACAUAGCACGCUUUUUCAUAGGCCUGUGUUCUUCCACCGUAAGCCCCGCUCGCUGUCAGGAGGGCUUGAAGCCAUUCCAAAGCAAGGCUCUCCUCUUGUGUGACCUGAGCUUAACUUCAGCUGUUUGAGGAGAUUUUCCCUGGUGAGCACACAGCGAGUGUGCCAUGAUACCGACUUCUCAGACGUGUGCCUGGAAUUCAAACGUCUUCUUGGAGACAGAAGCUCACGAGUGCACAUCUACACAAGGGCUGAAAACUUCAGUUCCUUUCAAGGAUCUGUCUUUGUCACAGUCUCCAUCUGUAAUCAAUAAGCUCAUGAUAAAUCACAAAUUCCUCUCCUGGAGACCAAGCAUCAGUGGUGCUGAGUCCCAGCAAUUCCCAUUAGCUUCAAUAGCCACUGCAGGUGCUGAGCAUCCUGGUUACAUCUGCUCACCUCCCAGGGGGCCACACUGUCCAGUUGCCUUUGGAAAUAUGUGCUGUUCUCAUUGGCUGGGAUUUGUUACUGAUAGAAUAAAGUUACCGCACUGCUUUAAAUCCCAUGUAAAACUAGGAACAAAGAUUUAGUGAAAACAAACCUUUAAUGAAAGUUUGACUACAGUUUUGUACCAUCCUUCAAAAGAUUUUAGGUAGGCUAGCUUCUCACGUAUCUUCCGUGACCCAUAUGUAACCCUGAGCAGCUGCCUUCCUUCCCAGGUUCAAUUUUAAACCUAAAAGAAGGCUCAACCUUGCCUUCCCACAACCACUGAGUGUGUUUUGAAAAGCAGUGCCACUGUAGCUGCUCACGCUCCUCUUGUUUAUACUUUUCCUGACUGAUAUGUUUCAGUGCCUAAGUGCAUUACUUGUGAGUUUUUGUAGAGCAGCUCCAAAGCUGUGCCAGUGGAUUUUUCUAGUUUAUAGCAUCAGCUAUUCAGACAGGUGUGUAACAACUUGAUUGACGAUACUUUUAGGUGAUGCCAUUGAUUACUAAAGCAACACAGGCACUUACAGGUAAGAUAUGCUUAAAAAUGGCUUGCUCAGUCAGGAGUGGAGCCCUUAAUCUGCUCUGCAUCCUGCAGUUCACCAGGAAGGCUGGAUGCUCUGUGGGAGCAAAGCAAACUCCAGAGCACUGAAGAGGUGAAUUGAAGACAAUAAUCACUGGAAGAUUUGACAUAGGAGAUUUGAUCACCUUGCUGAAUUCUGGGGAUUCUUCAGGGACAGGAUCUGUGAGAAAUCCCUGGUAUGCUGCUAGUUCCAUAAAACUGAUAUUACUAGUGAAUUGUUUUUAGAAGGGAAGCUGGCAUAUUGUAAAAAUAUCAAAUGAUAAUGCUAUGGUAGUUGAUAUACAGAAUGUGCAUUUGCAGCCUGGAUUGUUACGUGCUUCUAGGUCUGGCAGAAAUUUUAGGUACACACUUACUACAGCUUUUAAUGGAGGCAAAAUACCCAGCAAUAUUUAAGUAAAUUAUUUGGAACAAGAGUUGCAAAGUCAAAAUAAAUGGCUUAUUUGCUUUAUUACCAGGGACUACACAUGUGCUGCAGUUGGGCUGGUUUGUUCGAGCCAGAUGAAAAAAUGCUGCCUUCAGAUAACUCCAUCUCUUGCACACUGUCUUACUGUGAUAUCUUCUGUGUACACCCGUGUUGGUGUGGCAUGGCAGCACUCCUUGCUUCACUGUACAGAGGGAGUGCCUGAGUCUGGGGAUCUGGAAAGAAGUGUUUUUGUGGGCAGCCACCUUGCACGUGGGGCAUGAGUAAGCGCAGCUAGGCAGCUUUGUAGAUUGAGAGCAGUGUUCUGGGAAGCUCAGUGGUGAGCACAGGUGAAUUGCUGUGCUGUUUUGGCUCAGCUGCUUUGGUCUAUGGCUGAGUUUGUCUGAACAAUGGUUAUAGCCAUGUUGAACAAUGGAUUGCAAUAACAUCCUGGGGCUGAUUGUAGCAAUGGGAUGAAAGAAUGGAUUGUGAUAAGUGAAGGAAAUACUGGACUUUGGUGAUUUUAGGGGUAAUAAAAUGUCUGCUCUGUAAUAUGUUUGGCAAUACAUGCAGAAACAAAUAAUCUGUGGGGUUGCUUAGUGUUUUUCCAAGCUUUUGUUAGUUUGUUAAAGCUAGAAUCUGGGACAUCUUGAAUACAGUGGAAAACUGCCUUUGCCUCUUUUGGAUCAGGAUUCCUCCCUUAUGUCUGUGCCUACCGUACUUGGUAAAUCACCAAAACCCCAUCACAGCUAAGCUAGGAAAGCAGAGAGCAUCUGAGCUGUACUUUGGAAAUUCAGUGCAGUGCCCCAAGGUAGCGCUCAGGGGCAGAUGUUGUACCUGGGCACUCCCAUUGCUUGUCUCCGUGCUGAGGGUCUUCUGAGCAAAGAGGUGGGAAGAGCCAGCAGGAAACACAGCUGCUCGAAAAGAAGGCUCAGAGAGGGUAAGGGACUGAUGGCAAACCAGGGCACAGCUGGACAGAGACCCUGUUGGCCUGACUACCCCUGAUCACAGAACAGUCAGUGUGUGCAAGGAAUUUAGAUAGGAUCACAACUAAGUAAAGUUACAUUGUAUUAAAUGCAUCCCAGAAGAAAGCGACUUCUGCUCCAAAAUCCUGACAAACAAACAAACUAACUAACCAUAAGAAACCUCUCAAUUGCCCAGAAGUCUUGCUUAUAAUGGGCAUUAGCGCAUGGAUAUUCACCAAAUGUAAGUGACAAAUAUUUGGAGUUGGAGUGUGUGAAAUGGUGCCAUACCUCAUUUCUGAACAAUGCAAGCAUGGACCAGUUUGGCCAUGGCACCUCUCCUCUCAUGCCUUAAUUCUAAGUAGAUAGAUGGUAGUGACUAUCUGUACUUUAAAUGCUGCUUUUCCUCUUUAGACCUCAGAACACUUUAAAAAGGUGGGAUACUGCCUCAGGUCAAUUGUGGGCUGAGAAUUUCUAUACUGAAUUUUAACCUAAAGGGCAGUUACAAAGCCCAGUUUAUAAAUCUCUCAGAGAUCUUCGAGCAGUACUACUGAUCUCCAAAUGAUAGCCUCUUGAAUAUUAUUGCUGAAACUUUCUGGAAGUAGUGCAAACCAGGAGGGAACAAUUAAUCCUCAGAGUAACCCCAUUUACUCUAGCAGUUUGGCCCUGAGGGAGUAGGAGCACUUGAUGUCUGACAGCAGCCCCAAAUGUCAGUAUUUCUCCACUCGUUCAUUUGCUGCUUGCUGUGGUAGAUUUCAUGCCGUUAUAAGCUGUUUAUGUACAGCCUGAUCAAAGUACUUAAUGACAGGGUUAAUUUCUACGUAUAAUGGGGAAGUCAAGACAGGAGACAGGUACUGUGUAAUCGAAUUUUUCAUUUUGGAAUUUGUUUCUCUUCAUGUGGGGCUUAGCUUUGAUUUUUAUUACCAUUAAUGUCUGCAUUUACUGUUAUUUCUAGUUUCUAAGAUGAGCUAGACCUACUGCAGAAAUAGGCACUGAAUUGUUCCAACAGCUUCUGUGAAAGUAUGAGGAUAAAGUAAAAAGCAUCUAUAACUUCUCUGCAGCAAGACCUCAAAGUGCAGUUUGGUUUGGGGGAACCAAUAAAAUGGCACUUCUUGAACAGUCUACUGAGGCAUCUAAUCCUCUUUUUCUCACUCAGUAGGUACAGGCACAGACACGGAUGCUUAGAUAUCUCUGUAAGCAGCCAGAGAGACAAAGACUGUGUUAAAAUCUGGAAAUCUUAUAGUUUAUGAAAUGUGUUUCUUCAGCAAGACUUUGCAGACAAAGAGCAUCCCUUUGAAAGAGCUGAUAUGGAAAAUGAAUGGUUCUUCUUUUUCUAAAGAUGGAAAUGGUGCAUUAGAGCUACAUUUGCCCUGCUUAUCUUGGUUUUCAUUUUUAGGUGCACUGAGCACUGUAAAUAUUUCUGGACAUUCAGAAAUCUAGGGGUACAGAAGUGAUGGAGGCCUUACAAAGCACGGCUCUGGGGUAGCCAGCUUCAGGAAUCAAGCUGGAAGUGGGGAUGACAUUAAACCUCGGUAUAUCCACACUACCCUGCAUCUGUUUUUCUCCUUUUCUAGCACUGUAUAUUUCCGAAAAAUAGGGAUGUGAAAGUCCAUGUUAAAUUCUGUGGACCACUGUUAUACAAGUUUCCUUACGGCCGAGGUAGAAAUCCUUCUUUGUGAGGAAAGUGUGCACCUCUAUUAGCACCACUGUGCAAGCUGUGGUUUGCAAAUGCGGUGGGAGGCUUUGCUCAUGCUAAUUUGGGCUCAGUCAUGCACCUCUUUUCCUCUUUUACAUGCAAAUAGCAGCUGUGUCAGUCUCUGGGAUGCCUGCUUGUUCCUUUAACGGAGAGAUUCCAGUUCAUACCUUCAACCAGUGCAUUUGUGCGUGGGCAGAGGUAUAGCGCAGUGGUACAGUUGCUGACAAGGGAAGAGCUGUGACGGAGGUUGGAACAAGUUAGUGAAAUAGAGAAGUCUUGAAAGAAGACACUGAGCUUUUCUUGUAUGUUUUCAUUUAUUUAAAAAAAAAAAAAAAGGUGUGGGAGUGGAGAAGAGCAGAGAUCUACACAAAAUGAUAAUCCAUGAUCCUACCCCCAUAAAAAGGGAUCUCUUGACUCUCUUGCCUGCAAGAGACAUCCAUUUCUUUCUUCUGACCCAAAGGGUUCUGGCAGCAGUGGUGAGGCUGGAGCACAUCAGCCACCAGCCUGUGUAGCUGGGAUGGCUGUGGGCUGAGCGCAAGUGCUUGGGUUCCUCAUGGUGGUGCCCGGGUGCUGAGGGAGCUGGGCUGGUGACCUGUCCCGCUGCAAGCAUCAUACUCCAGAGGGUCCCUGGCCUUGCCAAGCCACGGGCUGUCCUGUGCUCUGCUCUCCCAGGGUUUUACAUGGUGGAGUGCAGCACAGCUGCCCUGCUGUGAAGACAAGGAAGUUCAUGGUACUUGCUUGGACCAACAGGCAAAUUGAGUACAAAGCAUAUUACUAUGAUGUUAUUUCUUCCUCUGUUUUCAGCCUUCUCCUCUGCUUUAUGGUAAUGGCUACCUGAACCUAGCCACCACCUUUCUUUUCCUCUCCUGCUCAGACAGAAUUCAAUGCAUAAUUAAUCAGGUGAAAUAAUUUCUAUGACAUCACUUCUUAUGCUGUUGAGUUUACCGAGGAAAGUUGGUAUUAAUACCACACAGGCCACAGAAUGUAAGUGUUGUAUGUGGAGCAGUUUAAAAGAUGUUUGAUUUAAGGUGCAAGGAUUUCCAGAAGUUUGGAGUACAGAGUUUUCUAAGGUCAGCUCAAAAAAAUAUUAUAUCCCUGUGAAGUUCUCAGUUAAAUUUGUGGGCAGCUUGUUACAAGGGUUUUCAGAAGAUGACAGCUCACCUUUUGGAAAGCCCUGGCCUAUGUUUGUUUUCUCCCCCAAAAAGACUGCUCUGAUGUCGGUGCCACAGAUUCAGGGCUCAGUGUAUAGCCAGGAUUCAGCUUGCAUUCGCUUCCUUGUGUAUCCCUGAGCAUCCUUGGGGGCUGUAAAAUGGUAACUGUGAGAUAUGUCUCUGACCUGUUUUGUAAUCUACUUGAUCACAUCCCCUUUGUGUGUGUGCAGGUGGCAGAGGUGGGGUCGGAGAUAGAAACACAUGUACAUGCUUUGGUCAUAGUAAUGGCAUCAAAGUGAUGCCAACUUUGUGUAGGGAAGGCCCUUAAACCCCUCUCUGGCCUCUCCACUGAUCCAUGGGGAAACAGGGCUGUGACCUGUGGAGUUUCACUGACUUCAAGUUUGACAACACUACAUUAAGUGGGUAACAUGUCGUGACAUAGCAGGAUAAAAUUCUGGCCCUCGUAAUGACUGUGGAUUUUGGUAUUGAUUUUGGAAGUAUUUUAGGCUUUCAGCUGUAGAAAUUAGUGGCAAAUUACAUGAUGAAAUAAUCUAGUUAUUUCCUAUCAAACAGGCUUUUCAGCAACUUGGCUAUUUCAGAAAAUGCUUUUCAAAUGGAACACCUUGAGCUAUUGACCCCUCAAAGAAAUACGUGCAUGCAAUAGAAUUACUUCCUGUCUAUUUAACACUCACGUGCAACAAUUUGGGUGGGUCUGGUUAUGUUGUUCUCCACCAUAGUGACAAUUUAUCCAAAGCAGUUUGUUGCCUGGCCUAAAUUUUGCAAAAACACCUGGUCUUUAAAACCUUUUGAGAAAGGGUGAUAUUUGCACCUGACAUGUCUCCAAGUAACUUAGAUCAAGUUAUUGAUCGGGCCUGUAUAUGUCGCUUUCCAGUGGGAGGAUGAGAUGGAGAGGCCAAUCCGUUACUGCAGCCAUCUACCACUGGAAAGCAAUAGCACUAAUGAUACAGGUUUUCAAUAGCUGAUUUAUAUUAUCCUGCAGUCAACAAGAACUCAUGAUUUUGUCACUGUACUGUUUAAAGGAGCACUCCCAAAUGGUGGCAGGCCCCAAAUCUGACCGGUUGUAACACAGCUGCUGUGUUACAAGCUGGGGAAAACUGAACAAAACCCCACAAGUCUUCCAGAGUAUGGUCUGGACAAGCUCUUUGCUCACUGAGCGAUGGAUCUUGUGAGCCCCCAGUUCAUGAGAGGCUCAUUCUAGGGAGUGGUUCCUGUUAAGAUUUGCUUUAGUUCCAUCAGCUGUUCCUUGGCAUUGUGCCAACCAGAGGGGAGGAUGGAGUUGCCAGUUCUUUCUCUGGGCAAGUACUGCACUUACCAUCUCAGUGACCUACUGCUAGUUUGGUGGUGAUUAAUGAGAAAUACGUGUCAGUGGCUAUAAAUGAGAGGCUGGUUCCCCUCUUCUUCCAUCUAGUGAUGUGAGUACCUUGGGCAGCCCAGAGGAAGUGUGUGCAGAAUCCAGCACAGAGCAGAGCUCCCGAGGAAGAGAGCAGCAGCAGUGAGGAGCUGAGUUUGCUGGAGAAAGCUUUUGAUGAGCCUUGCAAGAGCUGGCCUGAGCAGUCAGUGGGCACGGCCCCAUCCUCUCUUUGGGUCAUGUUUGAGCAUGGCAACAGUCACAUCAGCUCGGUGAGGCUGAGGUCUUGUUUUGGGCACUCCUAGCAACACAGGCAUGAGGGAAAGGCUGUGUGAGAGCAGCUGGGCACUGAGGGGAGUGCAGAUGUCAUGUGGAGCUCUGCAUGCUCAGGUGGGCUGACCUGCAAGGACAAGCGCUGUGUUUUUGGACUUGUACACACCCUGUUUUCACACAAACAUUUCAUGUAGAUUUGUAAAAUGCAAUAGCUGCCGAGCAUAUUCUACACAGUCACAGCCUAGUGACUGAAGGAUCCACUAAUUAAGAAGCCUGUAAUUAGGCUUUUAAAUGAUAAAAUGUAAUGGCUCUAGUGCAGCUGUUGUAAACUAUAGAGUAAAUUAUAUCCAGUUGAAAGAGGCCUUAAUUAUGUAAUUAUAUAACAUACUCUAAAGACUUAGAAAGAUAAAAGAAUUUUUAGUAUCUGCAAUUAAAAACAAGGGACAAACAACAGAGCUCUUAAACCAAUGAAAGCAAGGAAAUUCAAAGUUAAUCUGAAAAGCUGUGUUGGUACUUUCUUUUAUUCUCAUGUUGUUCUAAUUUUUGGAGGGUUGUUCUUGUUCUUUUUUUGUUUUCAUGAUGGAUGAUAUAAAGAAGUAUUGUCAAUCAGGAGUUUAUGUCCCCUGCUUUCAUUUUUCUUGCUUUUAUGAGUCUAUAUACAGCGUUGAUGAUAUUCAGCAAACCUUCUGGGGCUUCAUUUUUGCAGAAAUCCCUAGCAAGAACACACUUAUUCAACAGCUUGUCUCCUUGCAUUCUGAUUUACAGAAUGGUUGGUUGUUACACAUGCUUUUCUGAAGUCAACAAGACUCAAAUGUUAGUCACAUUUGGCCCCUGGAGAUUGUGUUUAGGCCACAUCUAGCCUGCAUGUUGUUGGUGCAAUGUUGGCAGCCACUCUCCAUGCUGGACUUACCAACUGGAGAAGAGGGUUUGGAUAUAUCUGGGACGAUUCAGCUAAGUGGAGAUUGCACUCUGGGCUUAUUUUUUACAGGGCUUAGUUCUGCUGCACUGAAACUGAGGAGAAUUUAGCCCUUGCCCACACUGGGCAUGGGCUAGACUGCAGUCUGCUUAUCCUUUAGACACCAGCACUCUUCCCCUGACCCCAGCUCUGCCUGACAGUGCCUCCUUGGGAACCUCACCAGCUCUGUCUCCAGACCUGCGCCUGCUCUCAGCCUCCCUUGCUUACCCAGCCCUGUCUGCUGCCCUUCCUUGCCAUCUCCAAUCACAACUGACACUGAUGUGCUGCAGUGAGCAAAUGCCUCUUUAUAGAGAAAAGGAAAGAUGUCUCUGAUGUGGGUCUGGUGGCUUUGCUCAUCUGUUGCCAGUUCUUUUUGUUUCUUCAGUUGCUGCUCCUCAGGACAAGGGCUGUGCUUUUUUGUGCUGUUUGUGAGCUGCAAACAGGAAGAGGACACAGACUCUAGGCUGUGAUGUGGAGAGAGCUGUUCUUAGGGACUGGCCUUCACAGCUGUAGGACCAACCACCCCAUGACAGCCAAAUGAGUAGUGCUUUUCUUGCUUAUUCCAGCCACAUCCAAGUAUUUUUUUUCUGGAAAUGUCACAGUGAGGGAAAUAAGGAAUACAGAUCUCAUAGUAAAUUUUUAUGGCUGAUUAAUUAGCCCAAAGAGUAUUAAAUUGUGCUAAUGUAGUUUGCCUCUUCAUGCUGUCUUUUGACUUCAAUGGAACUAAAUACAUGCUUAAAGUUAACUACAUGCCUAAGUGCUGUGGUGAAUCGGGGCCUAGGGCAUUAAUUAGAACUUGGCUCAGAUUUACUUUCAAGGCUUUUUCCCCCUCUUUUUUUUUUCUUUUUUUUUUACUCUUCAGCGCUCAGCAGUUUAAUUGGUAUGCAGAUGUUCCCCUUUAUUGCUGGCAGAGGCCUCUGUCACUGUUCUGAAGGUACUCAGACUUCAAGGCUGGUACAGUGGGCAGGAAGAAACCCCCCCUGAGGGCUUUCAAGCUUUGUGGGAAAUAAUGAUAUAUGAGACAGGGAUUCCUUUGGAACCUGAAGGGAACAUGACAGACAGAAUAAUAUGGGAGGAAAACAUUGUCUUCACAAUUGAGACUGAUGGUCUCAUCUUGUCUCCUUGUUAUUGUUACCAACCAAGACUGAGAUGAGCUUUCUUAUGAAGAACUUCAUUUUGUGGCAGGUUCUGUAUGUUGGGCACACUGCGCUCAGUGGUAGCUUUCCAUCCAAAGUACAGAUAUUGACAGGCUCUGAGGAACCCAUUGAGGUGGUGGUUUAGCUUAAAACCUAAAAUUCCUUCCAGCAUUGAGAUGCAUUUUGUCAGGAAUGACAGUUGCAAUUUGAUAAUCUUUUACCACUUUGCCUGCCCAGAUGAAGACUUGUCGGGCAAAGGAGUGUCAGCUUUAUGAAUCAGAUUUUCUCACACUUUAUUAAUUUCACUUUCCAGUGGUUAGUGCAUGUUUGCAAGAGACAAUUGAUUUGUACAGAUCUGUGUAGGAUGGAGCAAAGCUGGAACUAAAGCAGGAAUGCAAGUUGACAGCAAUGCAAUAGCUCUAAUUGACAGACACCAAAGGCACUAUUUAAAGCAACAUCUCCUCUGAUGUUUAGGUUAAAAAUUACCCUCAAUUUGUCCUCAGGUUGCUAUGUCCAAAAAUAAAUGUUUUUAUGUAUACUCAUUUCAAAUGGAUUAGCCAAAAAAAUCAAGUGCUCAUUUUCUAUACUUUUAUUUUCAAGUUAGAGAUGAUUCAAGCUGCUCUUGUGCAAGGUACUGGAAGAUGGCUGUUUCUUAACUCCUCCAGUGUAAAAGCUGUCUUUCAGAGGAUGCUUUGCACAUGUGAGAUUUAUGUUAGUAUUUUUUGGCACCCACAGUUUGCAUUCCAGCUAAUGGGAGGUAGAAGGACUAAGAGUGUAUGUUGUGGGUGCAAAAAUGCAAGUAGAAAUUACACCCAAUGUGGAAAGGGCUAGGAAAAUGUACCUUCUUGGAUGUGAGCAGGGCAGGUUAGGAAACAUCAUCUUCCUUUUACAAUUGUCUGUUACUCUUUACAUUUCUGGAGAACUGGGAUCUUGCUGUUAAUCUUACAAAAAUAGAUGCUGUGGUGAAGCCUCAGGCAUGAAUAAAAUUGGAUGUUAAUCUUAAAGCAGAUUUUUUACAGCUAUGCACUCAGAGCAGUGAAUCCAAAUGAUUUUGGAAACUCUGUGGUUUUUACUUAUUUAGAUCAAAAUGCUGUGGGGAAAAAGGUCAGUGGCACAGGUACAUAUUGUAACAUUUGGGGCUCCUGAAAGUUGGGCAGAUAAGCACAGCAAAUAUUAGACAUCUCUGACUUGACACAAAUAAUAGGCAAAGCUGAAAAAAGCCUGCUGACAAGAGGAGUGGGUGUUGGUGGGUGACUUGCUGCAGUUUUAGAGCUGUUAAGUGUAGGUUUUUUAGCAUUUUCAUUAUUUAAAAGUGGAGUGGUAGUUUCUUCACUCCUUCUGAAAAGUUACUAAUUUACUCUGAAAUAUAGGGUAAGCCACAAUGAUUUAACAGAUUUGUAAUGUGCUUUACAGUGACUUUAAGUAAGAUACCCUCCUUCUCUCUGAGCUUCCCACUGUCUCAGCUCUGCCCUCACUCCUUUCUCUGUGUACAUCUGCACCAAAAUGCAAAGCAAGGGCUGCCCCAUGCAUGACUUUCAUCUGUAUCCUGUGUCAGCUGGAGUGCCUGGAUGGCUGUGACCACUGGUGCUCAUGCAGGUUUGCCUCAUUGCCAGAGUUCAGAAAGACUGAGCUAGCUACGUUUGGAUAUUGGGAUUAGCAGUUUAGACUCUGUAGUGGUUCAAAAGCUGCUGCUCUGCAGGUGGACAGCCCUUUCUUAGAGGAGCCCUGACAUACAGAGCCUGCCUUUUGCCUAAUGCAUGGAAAGUGCCUAGGGGAGCAUGGCCAAGGGCUGCGAUUAAGGUCCCCAGGAUGUUCCUGGGAUACAGGCAGCGUUAAUUAAUCUGUGGUCCUCUGUGUCUGAUUCAGAGAAAGCAGCUGAGCUGUAUUUCCGAGCGGCUGUCCAAGAAGGGAGGCAGCCUGCAGGGAUGGAAGGUGCUCAGGACAUUUUCUUCUGUUGUCAAGCUGCAAGGGUCUCAGCUGGGUCAGGCCCACAGCUGUGCUGAGUAGCCAUGCCUAUGGCAGGAUGCUUCAGCUGCAAGCCUUUUGCAUGGAUGGUAUUUAAAUCUGAUGGUGCCUCGUUGAGAAGGAGCUGGUCCUGCAUUUACUCAGAGAGAUAUCUAGUGGUUUGUGGUAAGGAAUUGGGACCUGGGGCUGAAGCCACAACCUCCAGGACCAAACCACAGAAUUUACACAGCUGCCAAGGCCUGCCCGUUUGCCUUCUCUGUUGAAAGUCUGUCAUCACACAGCUCUUGCACUUCUGUCUGCUCUAGUCAUUAUUGGUGGAGGGAAGAAUCUGUUUUGUUCAAUAUAGCAAUGAUGUCUAGCUCAGUUUAAUUUUAUUAGCUGCUGCUGAUUUGUUCCUAUUCAGUGCAUCCAUGGAUUUGUUUAGUGUAACGUGAAGGGGUGUGGGUCAGAGACAGAGACAACAUGCACUUGAUGGUCCUUGUGACAAACAGCCCCGAGUUUAUUCCCACAGCUCCUUUUGUGGGAGCUUAAAUUUCCCUAGCCUACACAUGUGAUUUGUUGAGGCCUUCGCAUCAUUCAGAUCUCUGGCCAGUGACACAUCUGCAUUUAGGGCUGAAUGACAUUGCCUGGGGGUCCCUGUGUAGAUUUGAAUCCAACCUAUCCUUGCCCACCCAGGGACUGUAAUGCUACAGUUUAGUAUCAAUUAUCAAGGGUAGAAACUCUUGAAUAGAAAGCCAGGUGGAAAUUCUUAGUUUCUGGAGAACUCCAGGAUUUGUUUUGCUCUUCUUUGUUUCCCUGUUCUAGGAGGUGUGAAGUACACUUGUCCAUUCAUAACUGAAACUAUUCAAGAUGAAUGGGCUUGAAAGGGCACUAUAAGUUUCUCUUGCUGUCUGGUGUAGUAAAGAUCUUGUCUUCUAGCAAACAUUAUGAAUGAAAGCUUUUGUUACAAGGAGAA